rnacentral:rRNA from 1 species
UGGGGAAUAUUGCACAAUGGCGGGAACUCUGAUGCAGCGACGCCGCGUGAACGAAGAAGGCUUUCGAGUCGUAAAGUUCUUUUAUAUGGGAAGAUAAUGACUGUACCAUAAGAAAAAGCCCCGGCUAACUACGUGCCAGCAGCCGCGGUAAUACGUAGGGGGCUAGCGUUGUCCGGAAUCACUGGGCGUAAAGGGUUCGCAGGCGGAAAUGCAAGUCAGGUGUAAAAGGCAGUAGCUUAACUACUGUAAGCAUUUGAAACUGCAUAUCUUGAGAAGAGUAGAGGUAAGUGGAAUUUUUAGUGUAGCGGUGAAAUGCGUAGAUAUUAAAAAGAAUACCGGUGGCGAAGGCGACUUACUGGGCUCAUUCUGACGCUGAGGAACGAAAGCGUGGGUAGCAAACAGG